GUCUACGGCAUGCCACCCUAAACAAACCCGAUCCCAUAUGAUCUCAGAAGCUAAGCAGGGUCGGGCCUGGUUAGUACUUGAAUGGGAGACCACCUAGGAAGACCUGGUGCUAUAGGCA
rnacentral:rRNA from 1 species